rnacentral:lncRNA from 10 species
AUAACACUUCUUAAUUAACUCAAAGCAGAAACCAUGAAGAAAAAGUUCUCCUCUUAUUUGGGGAAUGGAUUUCAGAAGAGACCAGAAGAUGUUCUCGUGUUCUCACCACAGGGAAGGCAGAAGCACAGAGCCCCACAGGCUAAGAAAAUGAGUUCCUAGAAUCUUCUACCUCCACAGCGGAUCCCCUGAUGCCACUCCAAACUUCUGUAAUUGCACUCACAUAUGUGUAUUCCAGAUUCGAUGUGGAAGGAAAAGGCAGUUACCGAGUGCUCAGUCUGCCAUCUUGAAAUAGAAAUCAGAGAUACCAUUUCAUGAGGACUGUCCAGGCAUACUUUUGCUUGAGUUCCUUAGAGGCCUGGAGCACUGACUGCAGGUUGCCAUCCACCUGCAUCGUGGUGACCUUGACCGUAUGGUGAGAGGCCAGCAGAGUUGCAUGGACAGCUUCUGUAUUGCUCAUGUUCCUGCAUGGCAAACACAGGUGAAGCUCAUCAUCUUCCACCAGCAGCUGCUGCAGAAGGAUAGGUCAAUGCCACCGGGAGGGCAGUUCAGACACAGAAUGUGCAUUAUCUGGAUGGCAUCAGGUAGAGGCAUUUCUCUCUGGUUCAGAAAACUGAUUUUGACUGCUUUGGUUCCAAGCAGGAGCCCAAGGAAAGAUUUUUUAAAGCCUUAAAAAUCUUUUUUUUUUUUAAAAAAAAGGUAAAGGAAAGAGGGAACUCACACUCUAAUAGCCGCUUACUUAGUGUACUGUCAACAAUGAGAGCUGUACUUUUCCAUUGCUCAUUGCUCUAUUGAGAUUAUUCUGAGGCACGUUAUCAUCCUGAAUUUACUAUGCAACUGAUAUCUAAGGGUGAUUACAAACCAUCCAUAGCAAGUGUU